GCCUGAUAUUUGGGUCGGGGCCGGGGCGACGUGCAGUGUCUUGGUUUAGCCCCCGACGCCGGCCGGGACUCUGCGACUGCAGCCCGCGGUGGCCUCGCGGCGCGUGCUGGCCAGUGUCCCAGGGAAACGUAGCCAGUGCGUUUGGGCUUGUGCCCUGUGAAAUUGGGGGGGGGGGCGCCAAGAGCUGCCCUCUCCCCUCCCGCACAGAGCUGGAGGUCCCCGUCGCCGCACUAGAGGGACGGGGUGUGAGGCAGGGGUCCCUGAGGAGGAGCAGUGGCCAUGUCAGCACGGCCAGAGGCAGAUGACCUGUGGAGAAGUGUUUGUUGAAUGAGUGGCAUUUUGUCUUUCUCAAAAAGUUGAAGCCAAGGAAAUUACGUCACAACAGCUCAAAGCCUGGUCAAAGAAGAAGUGACCGGAUGAGCCACAGCCCUAGGUGCUGGGAGAGGAGAGGGCAGAGUGAGGAGAAAUCACCAGAGUUCAACACCCUUUCUGCUCUCGCCUCCCUGUCCUCUUCCAGGUCUUGAAACAGCUGCCUGGCCGGGGUUUAGGGGGUUAAACUCUGGCACCUGCUGUGUCCAGUCCAAGUUAGCAGUUGGGAAGGAAAGAGGAGGAGUCCUCCCCACGCCAGCCCCACUGGCCAGGCGUCCUCAAUCAGCCACAGCAUCUGAGCAUCCGCCUGCCACAAGGCCAUGUUUGGCUGGGACAUCUGAAGCUCGUUAGCUGCCUGCUCCCUGGGGGCUGACCCCACUUGGCGAGAAUUACCCCAGACAGAGCUGUGGAGCAAACGAAGACCAGCUGUUCCCUAAGGAGCGAGCUUGACAGCACAUCCUGGAAGACAGCCUGAGACCGGAUUCUGGGAAGGCCUGGCGUCUCUUCCGGAACAGCAGAGCUUCCGCCCGGACGGAACUGUUUAAGUGCAGGAUAUUGUAAGAAAUACUCCCAGCCAGGAAUCUAGAGACUGCAUCCAGCACUGCCUGGUCUGUGGAUUGGCUGUGUGACCUUGGGCCAGUCCCUGCCCCUCUCUGAGCCUUGGUUUCUUCAACUUUAACAUGAAGACUUCGACUUGAUCAAGUGGUUUUCCCACAGCCAAUCUCAGACUGUCAGCUUCUCUUGGGCAAGAGCCACGCCUUCUCUUCUUAAGUGGACCAUAGAAUUUAGAACCAGAGGACAGGGGUUCAAGCCCAAAGCCAUCACUCCCUAACUGUGUCAGUGACCAUGGGCAGGUGGUCACACCACUCUGAGCCUCUGCUCCCCCGUGGGAAGACACAGGUCAGAGUGCUCACCCUGCAGCCUGCCACAGAUGCCAUGAAAGGUGGACAUCAAAGACCGUGGACAGCAGAGCCAGGUGCUCUACUGGGCCAUCAGCCCAGUGCCUGGCUCCAUCCUGACUCCGGGCAUCUGGGCCCGGGCUUGUCAACGGAGCCACUGUCUGCUCAUGGCGCUUACAUAGCUCUGGAAGGAGGAGUGUGCACGCUGGGUCCAGCCCACUCUAUGAAGUGUCAGUAACAUUGCCCAGAGGGCCUCGGGGCCAUGACAUCAUGGACAGCAGUUUCCAUGUUGAAGCUCACAGAUCUAAGGCCAUUUUAAAAAAUAGUACUGACUUUUUUUUUCUUCUCUUUUUUUUCCAUUUUGGCUGAGGCAUGGAAUGUGAAAGCUGCUAAAUUCCCGCAGGAAGUAGUAAAGGCUGGGUUCAGAAACUGA